rnacentral:rRNA from 1 species
UACGUAGGUGGCAAGCGUUGUCCGGAUUUACUGGGCGUAAAGAGCGCGCAGGCGGUCGUUCAAGUCGCGUGUGAAAGCCCCCGGCUCAACUGGGGAGGGUCACGCGAUACUGAUCAACUCGAAGGCAGGAGAGGGUAGUGGAAUUCCCGGUGUAGUGGUGAAAUGCGUAGAUAUCGGGAGGAACACCAGUGGCGAAGGCGACUACCUGGCCUGUUCUUGACGCUGAGGCGCGAAAGCUAGGGGAGCAAACGGG